CGUGGCUCCGCUGCCCGCUGGUCCUCUAGCCUACCCCGGUGAGCUGGGCAGCGGGAUGGGCUGGGAAAGAGCGCGUGUUCUGGGAUUUGCCCUUGGACAGACUGGAGUGGGCGGAGGUCCCUCAGGCAGUCGCCUCCCUCCUGCAGUCACCGACUUGGGUGAAAACGGAAAGAUUCAGGAGUCCCAGAACUUGCCUUCCCAGUUGUGGCACUGCGCUGAAGGAGAGCCGCCAUGAGUCAUUAGUUUCCCUGCAGCGGACCUGCGAUUUGGAUUCGGAUUCGGAUUCGGACUCUCACUUGAUGCAGCCUGUCACCUUGAACAAACCCUAGGUAUCUCAGAAGAACGGGAAAUACUACCAGUAUGAACGGGACCAGAGGACGGUACCUGAAUGGAAGCUGUGUGCCAAAGGCCAUGGGAGAGGCCUUCUGGGAGUCCACUGCAGGAAGAAAGGCCUGGACCUUGACAAACCUCCAACGAUGGGGAGUGGGGGGGACUGGACAAGGUCAGAGCUGAAAGGUGCUUACUCACUGGAGAGCAUCAGGAUGUAGGAGCUGACUCCACAGGAGCUGUGCAUACUGGUUAUGUUAGGCUAAGGACUGUGAAUAUGGGGCACCAAUGUCAAUGAACCCCUGAACCAGGGACAUAGGAAAGUCACUCAGCUGACAUGCCACACACGCAGAACAUAGGGGCUGCAGAGCAUUGCAUCAGGCUAGAGUAAGACCUUCCUACACCAUCAAAAGGGGAAAGAGGAGGGCUGCAGAGAUGGUUCUACAGUGAAGAGCACUGGCUUCUAUUCCCGAGGACCCAGACUUGAUUCCAGAACCCACAGGAUGUGUACAUCAACUGCAACUCAGGUCCCUGAAGAUCCCAUGCACACAUGCAGCCAAAUACCCAAAUAUACACAAUAAAAAUAAAGAGGCAUGGAGGGGAAGACGAGGAGAUGCUGGGAAAACAUUGUGCAUAUUCCUAUAGCCAGCAACGAGGUAGGACUGUGAAGUAAAGUUACCCAGGGUUGGUGAGUGCUUGGUCCUGUACGUCCCAAAAGCCAGUGUCUGCCUACUGAAGGGGUUUGUGGGGAGCGCCCUGACAUUCCUAGAAAGAGAGUCAAUGGAAGGACGUUUUCUUUUUCCCAAAAGCAAAACCAAGAACAGAGUCCCCACACAACUGUGUCUCAAAGCAUGCCACAGAGCUCAGCGUCUUGGGAUGCUUCAGUCUGGCCUCAGAUUAUAUGAAAACUAAGAUGAGCCUCAAGGGAUGCUCCAUGUCUCCAUGUUCUACCUGGCCUCACAAAGUCCUCAAAUUUUCCAGCCCCAAGAUUCUUUAACUUUCCUAGUGAGUAAAACCCAUUAUAUCUGUCCCAUGUGUUUGCCGGGAGUCCUCUCCUAAGUCUGGAGAGAUGGCUUCAGACAGGACAGUAGGAUCCUGCCCAUCCUCCUGGAUUCAGACCAGUCACCUUUUGUUAUCCCAGAUUUUCUCCUGCAUCCUUUCCCUGCAGCAAGCCUGAGCUGUGAGGACAGCAGCUUGUCUAGCUUGAGAGACCUCUUAACCAAUUGGGGACCUUUACCAACAUCUGUCACAAAAACAAGAAUAGUGCUGAUUUCCAGCACAAGCCAUUCAAAAUCCUCUGAGAACCAUUGAGUCUUGACAUCUACUGGUCAUCCACCCAGCAGCCAUUGAUUUGGUCUUUCCGUGUGAUCUAGGGUCAAUCACUGAACACCAGCACAACGACCUCUCAUCCUAUUGUGUGACAGAGCUUCCCUGUCUCCAUCCUUUCAUUCCCUCCUCCUUCCCUGAAUCACAACCUCAUGACUACAAAGCCCCUGUGGAUAAAGGGUCUCAUUAAGAAGUCCAGGCCAUAUAGUCCCGGCUGACCUUGAACUUGCAAUCUUCUUGCCUUGGCCACUGAUGUGAUACUGCAGGCCUGUGCCCCUGCACUUGGCUCAGUAAACUCUUUACUCACAACAUUAAAGU